rnacentral:rRNA from 1 species
CCUACGGGUGGCAGCAGUGGGGAAUAUUGCACAAUGGGGGAAACUCUGAUGCAGCAACGCCGCGUGAGCGAUGAAGGCCUUCGGGUCGUAAAGCUCUGUCCUAAGGGAAGAAUACUGACGGUACCUUAGGAGGAAGCCCCGGCUAACUACGUGCCAGCAGCCGCGGUAAUACGUAGGGGGCUAGCGUUAUCCGGAAUUACUGGGCGUAAAGGGUGCGUAGGCGGCCCUUUAAGUUAGAGGUGAAAGGCUACGGCUCAACCGUAAUAAGGCUUUGAAACUUUAGGGGUUGAGUGCAGGAGAGGAGAGUGGAAUUCCCAGGGUAGCGGAGGAAUGCGUUGAUAAUGGGAGGAACACCAGUUGCGAAGGCGGCUAUGUGGGCUGUAACCGACGCUGAGGCCCGAAAGGCUGGGGAGCGAACAGGAUUAGAUACCCUUGUAGUC